UACGGAGGGGGCUAGCGUUGUUCGGAAUUACUGGGCGUAAAGCGCGCGUAGGCGGACCUGCAAGUCGGGGGUGAAAGCCCGAGGCUCAACCUCGGAACUGCCUUCGAUACUGCGGGUCUCGAGUCCGGGAGAGGUGAGUGGAAUUCCUAGUGUAGAGGUGAAAUUCGUAGAUAUUAGGAAGAACACCAGUGGCGAAGGCGGCUCAGCUGGCCCGGUACUGACGCUGAGGCGCGAAAGCGUGGGAGCAAACAGG
rnacentral:rRNA from 1 species